GCCCCGGUCGUCUAGUGGCCUAGGACUCUGCCCUUUCAAGGCGGCAACACGGAUUCGAAUUCCGUCCGGGGUAC
rnacentral:tRNA from 1 species